UUCCCGUUUUGGUGGAACAAUAUUGUGUCUUAGAAUGUGAAAGGCCAUUAGACAUUUUUGUUUCUCAUAGCCUUUCACAUUCUUAGAGACGAUAUUUCGAGUACAUCGUGAAUAUUG
rnacentral:precursor_RNA from 15 species